rnacentral:misc_RNA from 1 species
AACGCACAUUGCGCCCCUCGGUAUUCCGUGGGGCAUGCCUGUUCGAGCGUCAUUUACACCCUCAAGCCAUGCUUGGUGUUGGGCGUCUGUCCCGCCUCGGCGCGCGGACUCGCCUCAAAGUCAUUGGCAGCGGCCCCGCCGGCUCCUCGCGCAGCACAUUUUGCGCUUCUCGGAGCCCAGGCGGAUCCGCGCUCCAGCAAGACCCCCUCGCGACUUGACCUCGGAUCAGGUAGGGAUACCCGCUGAACUUAA